ensembl:misc_RNA 7SK 7SK RNA
GGAUGUGAGGGCGAUCUGGCUGGAUAUCUGCUACCCCAUUGAUCACCAAGGUUGAUUGUGAUAAUCUGGCUGGCUAGGCUGGUGUCCCCUUCUUCCCUCACAGCUCCAUGUGCCUCCCUCCUGAAGCUGCGCGCUUGGUGAAAGAGGAUGAUCACCCCAAAUAGAGGACCGUUUCUUCAGUCAAGGCUGUAGGAGUAGCUGCGCUCCCCUGCUAGAACCUCUAAACAAGCUCUCGAGAUCUAUAGUAAGGUAUUGCUGUCCAUUUCUUACUGUUUCUAAUUUAUACAUUAAACCUUUUAUAAAUAUUAUAAAAUAUUAGU